AGUCUGGAUAUGACACAGUUGGCUCCACACAUUACUUUGUCAUUCCUGGGUCAAAUGAUGGCAACCUCAUCCCAAACCUCAAGUCCACAAGUAAUGUAAACACUCCAGGCCGUUGGGCUUUCUCCGCAAAUCAAGGCAUUGUACAAUUUUCAGAGAUUUUCUAUCCAGUUGGUUUGGCAGCAGGAGACGCACAAACUGUUGUUGUUGGCACUGAUGAUUACGUUCCAGUUAACCUGUCCAGUCCAUUUCUGUAUUUUGGGCGGCCAUACAGCCUGAUAUAUGU